rnacentral:misc_RNA from 1 species
UUCGAUUAUCCAACGCCAUUUUCUGUUUUCUCCUGAACGCGUCCGGUAGAGAUCAGGUUGAAUUGUCCAGCAUUGAUAAAUAGUUUUUUGUAACAUGGGUACACGUGUCUUCGUCGGCGGCUUGACCUACCGCGUCCGUGAGCGGGAUAUUGAAAAAUUCUUUCGGAAAUAUGGAAGAAUUAAGGAAGUUGCCAUGAAAAAUGGGUUUGCAUUUGUCGAAUUUGAUGACUACAGGGAUGCUGACGACGCAGUUUAUGAAUUAAAUGGAAAAGAGUUAUUGGGUGAACGCGUUUCUGUGGAAAGAGCUCGAGGAACGCCGCGUGGUUCAGAUCAAUGGAGAGGAAGUGGAGGAAGAGGUUAUGGACCACCAAGAGGGAGAAGCCGUGAUAAGUAUGGACCACCGACAAGGACGGAAUAUAGACUAAUAGUGGAAAAUUUAAGUAGCAGAGUUAGCUGGCAAACCGAUUGGGUUGUUGGGUCCUAAAGUGUCCUUAUUCCUUCAUAUUCCGACCGAACGAUGCGUUCCAAGGUUCGAUAUCGAUGAGCAUACCGAUAUGAGCGGGGUUCCGUUCAACACUGUCUUGUCCGUUCUGUUCCGGUGCAUUAAUACGUAUUACGAGGGGGCCACACGCCAGUUUGGGAGCAUUUUCAACACAUUUUUCUGUCCUCUGCCAACUCCGGAAGGAAGAUCGAUCGCUACGGAAGAUUAAAAGAUGAGGGAUGUAAACGAUGCCGAAAUUGUACCGAUCCGAUCCGAGGCAGUUUACACCAAUGUAACGACAAUGUUAUAAAGCUAGAGACGAGUUUUUCAAAAGUUAAAUUCUUUGUAAAGUGCUCCCAGUACAUGGAGUGUGAAGUUUUGUUCAGUCCAUUCUAUGACAAUUGUCGGGUUGCGGCAACGUCAAGUGGCCAUGUUCGUACAUUGCGCACCAGGACUUGAAAGAUUACAUGCGACAAGCUGGUGAAGUCACUUAUGCGGACGCACAUAAGCAAAAAAGGAAUGAAGGAGUGGUUGAAUUUGCGUCAUAUUCGGAUAUGAAAAACGCGAUUGAGAAGUUGGAUGAUUGUGAAUUAAACGGUCGCCGAAUUCGAUUAAUUGAAGAUCGUAGGAGGGGAGGAGCUCGCAGAUCUCGAUCUUCGUCAAGCCGAAGCAGAUCGCGUUCAAGGUCAAGACGCCGUUCUCGAUCUCGAUCAAGGUCCCGCAGUCGAUCAAGAAGCCGUUCUCAACGUUCCAGCCGAUCAAAAUCGCGUGGUUUAUCAAAAAGCAAAUCUCCCGCACAGUCAAAAUCGCGGUCAAACUCAAGAGCCAGAUCUAAUCCGAAAAGAUCUAAAUCUAGGUCUACGUCAAAGGAGAAGGAUGGAAUGAA